CUACAGUGUUUUACAUUUCACAAACGUUUAACAAAAAACAAAUUUUAUUGGUUCUAGUAACAGAAGUCACAUUUUGCAAAUACUUCCUUGUUUGUCACCCCCCUAUGCUAACACAUAGUACUUUUGGUUACUACUCUUUACACACAAUGGUCCAUGCUAGAUCAGUGUUUACAAAACAUGUGUCUGGCCUGUCGACAAUGAUAAGAAUAACAUAUUGUACAAUACUACUUUGAGAAAUAUGAAAAAGAAUAACUAGAAUAUGUAUCACAUGUGGCGGCUCUAUUUGCCACGUACGUGUAAUGAUAUGCGCAUUUUUGGGCCGAUAAAAACAGAGUAAGUUGAACAUGUCUGUGUUUUGCUAGCAGGCUCGGCUAGCAGGAGCUGUGUCAUUCCCACCUUGUCGUCCUUCUUGCCUCCGCCCGGACCGUGGCCUCCACUCUGGCUUUGACCCUGGAAGAAUAUCGGACGCACGUUAUCAAAGCCUAAAUGAAGGCGCAGACGAAGGUGCGCACGUCGCCACGUCGGAACCUCGACGUUCCACCGAAGGAGUCAGACCUUCAACCAAGCAGGUCGAGGUGUGUGGGUGAAGGAGGAGGCCGAGGAGCGGGGCAGCAGGGCCGGAGGUGUUGUCAGCUGUUAUCCCGGUCUCAGUGAGAGCAAGGAAGUCUAGGGACCGCGGGGAGGCGUAUCCAGAGAUGAACCCGGCCUUGCAGGUUUGGACUGCGGCCACCAAUGUCACCAAUAACAGCCAUACUCCAGACUGAAUGAAAAUAUACCGGACAACUUUAAGUGAGUAAAUCACCGAAUCCGAAAC